UACGUAGGGGGCAAGCGUUGUCCGGAAUCAUUGGGCGUAAAGAGCGUGUAGGCGGCCCGGUAAGUCCGCUGUGAAAGUCCAGGGCUCAACCCUGGGAUGCCGGUGGAUACUGUCGGGCUCGAGUCCGGAAGAGGAGUGUGGAAUUCCUGGUGUAGCGGUGAAAUGCGCAGAUAUCAGGAGGAACACCAAUGGCGAAGGCAGCACUCUGGGACGUGACUGACGGCUGAGACGCGAAAGCGUGGGGAGCAA
rnacentral:rRNA from 1 species